AUUGAACGCUGGCGGCAGGCUUAACACAUGCAAGUCGAGCGGGGAAGGGUAGCUUGCUACCUAACCUAGCGGCGGACGGGUGAGUAAUGCUUAGGAAUCUGCCAUUUAGUGGGGGACAACAUUCCGAAAGGAAUGCUAAUACCGCAUACGUCCUACGGGAGAAAGCAGGGGAUCUUCGGACCUUGCGCUAAAUGAUGAGCCUUAGUCGGAUUAGCUAGUUGGUGGGGUAAAGGCCUACCAAGGCGACGAUCUGUAGCGGGUCUGAUAGGAUGAUCCGCCACACUGGGACUGAGACACGGCCCAGACUCCUACGGGAGGCAGCAGUGGGGAAUAUUGGACAAUGGGCGAAAGCCUGAUCCAGCCAUGCCGCGUGUGUGAAGAAGGCCUUUUGGUUGUAAAGCACUUUAGGCGAGGAGGAGGCUACUAGUACUAAUACUACUGGAUAGUGGACGUUACUCGCAGAAUAAGCACCGGCUAACUCUGUGCCAGCCGCCGCGGUAA
rnacentral:rRNA from 1 species